rnacentral:pre_miRNA from 1 species
AGAGUUUUGCGACCAAGAAUUUUGCGACCAAGAAUAAAAUUUUUGGUCGCAAAAUUCUUGGUCGCAAAAUUCU